rnacentral:rRNA from 1 species
AAGAGUUUGAUCCUGGCUCAGGAUUAACGCUGGCGGCGUGCCUAAUACAUGCAAGUCGAACGGAAACCUUCGGGUUUUAGUGGCGAACGGGUGAGUAACACGUAAGCAACCUACCCUAAAGACGAGGAUAACCAUUGGAAACAGUGGCUAAGACUGGAUAGGAAGAUAAAAGGCAUCUUGUAUCUUUUAAAAGACCUAGUUAAUAGGUAUGCUUUAGGAGGGGCUUGCGCCAUAUUAGUUAGUUGGUAGGGUAAUGGCCUACCAAGACGAUGAUGUGUAGCUGGACUGAGAGGUUGAACAGCCACAUUGGGACUGAGACACGGCCCAAACUCCUACGGGAGGCAGCGGUAGGGAAUUUUCGGCAAUGGAGGAAACUCUGACCGAGCAACGCCGCGUGAAUGACGAAGUACUUCGGUAUGUAAAGUUCUUUUAUCGAGGAAGAAAAGCAAAUGGCGAACCAUUUGUUUGCCGGUACUUGAUGAAUAAGCCCCGGCUAAUUAUGUGCCAGCAGCCGCGGUAAGACAUAAGGGGCAAGUGUUAUCCGGAAUUAUUGGGCGUAAAGGGUGCGUAGGCGGUCUAGUAAGUCAGUGGUGUAAUGGCAACGCUUAACGUUGUCCGGCUAUUGAAACUGCUAAACUUGAGUUAGAUAGAGGCGAGUGGAAUUCCAUGUGUAGCGGUAAAAUGCGUAAAUAUAUGGAGGAACACCAGAGGCGUAGGCGGCUCGCUGGGUCUUAACUGACGCUGAGGCACGAAAGCGUGGGGAGCAAACAGGAUUAGAUACCCUGGUAGUCCACGCCGUAAACGAUGAGUACUAAGUGUCGGGUUAAACCGGUACUGAAGUUAACACAUUAAGUACUCCGCCUGAGUAGUACGUACGCAAGUAUGAAACUUAAAGGAAUUGACGGGACUCCGCACAAGCGGUGGAUCAUGUUGUUUAAUUCGAAGAUACCCGAAAAACCUUACCAGGUCUUGACAUGUUUUUGCAAAAUGAUAGUAAUAUCGUGGAGGUUACCAGAAACACAGGUGGUGCAUGGUUGUCGUCAGCUCGUGUCGUGAGAUGUUAGGUUAAGUCCUAAAACGAGCGAAACCCUUAUCGUUAGUUGCCAGCACGUUAUGGUGGGGACUUUAACGAGACUGCCAAUGAUAAAUUGGAGGAAGGUGAGGAUCACGUCAAAUCAGCAUGCCCCUUAUGACCUGGGCUACAAACGUGAUACAAUGGCUGUUACAAAGGGUAGCUGAAACGCAAGUUCUUGGCCAAUCCCCAAAAACAGUCCCAGUCCGGAUUGAAGUCUGCAACUCGACUUCAUGAAGUUGGAAUCGCUAGUAAUCGCGAAUCAGCAUGUCGCGGUGAAUACGUUCUCGGGGUUUGUACACACCGCCCGUCAAACCACGAAAGUUGGCAAUACCCCAAAACGGUAGCCUAACUCGUUUAUUCGAGAGGGCGCCGUCUAAGGUAGGGUCGAUGAUUGGGGUUAAGUCGUAACAAGGUAUCCCUACCGGAAGGUGGGGAUGGAUCACCUCCUUU